rnacentral:rRNA from 1 species
UACGAACUGUGCAAACGUUAUUCGGAUUCACUGGGCUUAAAGGGUGCGUAGGCGGCUGUUUAAGUAGGGUGUGAAAGCCCCCGGCUCAACCGGGGAAUUGCGCUCUAAACUGGACAGCUUGAGUGAGACAGGGGUGUGCGGAACUUCCGGUGGAGCGGUGAAAUGUGUUGAUAUCGGAAGGAACGCCGGUGGCGAAAGCGGCACACUGGGUCUUGACUGACGCUGAGGCACGAAAGCCAGGGGAGCGAACGGG